UACAGAGGGUGCAAACGUUGCUCGGAAUCAUUGGGCGUAAAGCGCACGUAGGUGGCGCGUUAAGUCGGAUGUGAAAGCCCUGGGCUCAACCCAGGAAGUGCAUACGAAACUGGCGCGCUUGAGUAUGGAAGAGGGUCGCGGAAUUCCCGGUGUAGAGGUGAAAUUCGUAGAUAUCGGGAAGAACACCCGUGGCUAAGGCGGUUCUCUAGUACGGUACUGACGCUGAGACGCGAAAGCGUGGGGAGCGAACAGG
rnacentral:rRNA from 1 species